GACGGAGGAUGCAAGCGUUAUCCGGAAUGAUUGGGCGUAAAGCGUCCGCAGGUGGCAGUUCAAGUCUGCUGUCAAAGACCGGGGCUUAACUUCGGAAAGGCAGUGGAAACUGAACAGCUAGAGUAUGGUAGGGGCAGAGGGAAUUCCUGGUGUAGCGGUGAAAUGCGUAGAGAUCAGGAAGAACAUCGGUGGCGAAGGCGCUCUGCUGGACCAUAACUGACACUCAGGUGCGACAGCGUGGGGAGCAAACAGG
rnacentral:rRNA from 1 species